GAUGAACGCUGGCGGCGUGCCUAAUACAUGCAAGUCGAGCGAAGCGGGGACGGGUGAGUAACACGUGGAUAACCUCCUAUAAGACUGGGGUAACUUCGGGAAACCGGAGCUAAACCGGAUACUUAUACAUGGAUCCGCGCUGCAUUAGCUAGUUGGUAAGGUAACGGCUUACCAAGGCAACGAUGCAUGGCCGACCUGAGAGGUGGAUCAGCCACACUGGAACUGAGACACGGUCCAGACUCCUACGGGAGGCAGCAGUAGGGAAUCUUCCGCAAUGGGCGAAAGCCUGAUGGAGCAAUGCCGCGUGAGUGAAGAAGGUCUUCGGAUCGUAAAACACUGUUAGUAGGGAAGCGGUACCUAAACAGAAAGCCACGGCUAACUACGUGCCAGCCGCCGCGGUAAUAC
rnacentral:rRNA from 1 species